AUUGAACGCUGGCGGCAUGCUUUACACAUGCAAGUCGAACGGUAACAGGCCGCAAGGUGCUGUCGAGUGGCGGACGGGCGAGUAAUGCAUCAGAACGUGCCAAGCUGUGGAGGCUAACUACUCGACAGAGUAGCUAAUACCGCAAUCGCUCUAAGGAUGAAAGCGGGGGAGCGUAGGACCUCGCGCGCUCGGACCGGCCGAUGUCGGAUUAGGUAGUUGGUGGGGUAAAGGCUCACCAAGCCAACGAUCUGUAGCUGGUCUGAGAGGACGAGCAGCCACACUGGAACUGAGACACGGCCCAGACUCCUACGGGAGGCAGCAGUGGGGAAUAUUGGACAAUGGGCGCAAGCCUGAUCCAGCAAUGCCGCGUGCAGGAAGAAGGCCUUCGGGUUGUAAACUGCUUUUGUACGGAACGAAACGGCUCUGGUUAAUACCCGGGGCUAAUGACGGUACCGUAAGAAUAAGCACCGGCUAACUUCGUG
rnacentral:rRNA from 1 species